rnacentral:rRNA from 1 species
UUCGCAAUGCCCGAAAGGGUGACGAAGCGACGCCGCGUGUGGGAAGAAGGCCCUCGGGUUGUAAACCACUGUCAGGAGUUAGGAAAUGCAGGAGUGUUAAUAGCGCUUUUGCUUGACUAAGGCUCCAGAGGAAGCCACGGCUAACUCUGUGCCAGCAGCCGCGGUAAUACAGAGGCGGCAAGCGUUGUUCGGAAUUAUUGGGCGUAAAGAGCACGUAGGCGGCCUUGCAAGUCAGUUGUGAAAGCCUUCCGCUCAACGGAAGAAUGUCAGCUGAUACUACAGGGCUUGAGUGCGGGAGGGGAGAGUGGAACUUCUGGUGGAGCGGUGAAAUGCGUAGAUAUCAGAAGGAACGCCGGCGGCGAAAGCGACUCUCUGGCCCAAAACUGACGCUGAGUGUGCGAAAGCUAGGGGAGCAAACGGGAUUAGAUACCCCGGUAGUCCUAGCCGUAAACGAUGGGCACUAAGUAGAGGGGUUUU